rnacentral:misc_RNA from 1 species
AUUCGGUUGCAUUAACCAGACAAUCUUCGGAUUGUUAUGCAACCACUGACAUUGUCAGAAGGUCAACAGAAGAAAUCUCCGUCUGAUGUUAGGACCUGACUGGUAGGAGAGCACAAAACAAAAGAUGUUGAAGUUGAGCACAUUUCGAUGUGGCAAUAUCUUUUCACACUUCGGUGUGUUUUGGGGAGUAUCAGAAUAAUCCGUUCUGAUGCGCUUGACUCAUCAACUAGGAGAGAU